UAGCCAAAUGCCUCGUCAUCU
rnacentral:ncRNA from 2 species